rnacentral:tRNA from 1 species
ACCUGGCUGGCUCAGUCGGUAGAGCAUGUGACUCUUGAUCUCAGGGUCAUGAGUUUGAGCCCCACGUUGGGCA